AUUUUUGAAUUUUUUGUUUUAGACAUAUGGCAUUUGCUAUCCCACUGUAAGUUAAAACUAGUUGUAAAAUUAAAAAAUUUAUAUUGGAACUUCUAUUUCUUUUAACAUUCAUGUUUAUUUAAUUGAGUUACAACUAAGGUUAUAUAUGAGUUAUUUAUACUAUCUUAGAAUUUGCUGCUUUAGAGGCACGGCAUUUAGUGUCACAUUAAUUUACUGUUUUAGACACGUGGCAUGUGGUAUCCCACUAAUUAGCUAUUUUAAACAUGUGACAAGUGGUAUGACACUGAGUUGACGGCAUGGUGUCCGAUUUAAAGUGCGAACCUGUGUACGAGUAACAACAGUAUUCAAAACCAAAACCUAUUUAAACCAACCAAACCAAAACUAGCGAUCAAAAACUAAUAUCUUGGCAUUGGUUUAUUUUAAACAUCUAUUAUAUAUAUGUGUGUGUUUUAUAUAAAUGUACUAGCUUGAGUAUAGUG